AAAAACAUCGCCUUCUGCCACUAAUAGAAGGUCUAGCCUGCCCAGUGAAAAUUUAAACGGCCGCGGUACUUUAACCGUGCAAAGGUAGCACAAUCACUUGUCUCCUAAAUAGAGACCAGUAUGAAUGGCAUCACGAGGGUUACACUGUCUCCCCACUUUAAUCAGUGAAACUAAUCUCCCCGUGAAGAAGCGGGGAUAAAUAUAUAAGACGAGAAGACCCCAUGGAGCUUUAAACUAAAAACAUCCGCAUAUUUUAUGCCACUUAAACCUAGCAGAUUUGUUUUCUAGUUUUUGGUUGGGGCGACCGCGGAGUAAAACAAAACCUCCACGAUGAAGGGAAAUAAUGACCUAAUUCAAGAGCAACCGCUCGCAAAAUCAAAAUAUUGACCUAUGACCCAAAAAUCUUUGAGUAACGAACCAAGUUACCCUGGGGAUAACAGCGCAAUCCAUCCCAAGAGCUCCUAUCGACAGAUGGGUUUACGACCUCGAUGUUGGAUCAGGGUAUCCCAGUGGUGAAGCCGCUACUAAAGGUUCGUUUGUUCAACGAUUAAAACCCUACGUGAUCUGAGUUCA
rnacentral:rRNA from 1 species